rnacentral:rRNA from 1 species
UAGGGAAUCUUCCACAAUGGACGCAAGUCUGAUGGAGCAACGCCGCGUGAGUGAAGAAGGUUUUCGGACCGUAAAGCUCUGUUGUUGGUGAAGAAGGAUAGAGGUAGUAACUGGCCUUUAUUUGGCGGUAAUCAACCAGAAAGUCACGGCUAACUACGUGCCAGCAGCCGCGGUAAUACGUAGGUGGCAAGCGUUGUCCGGAUUUAUUGGGCGUAAAGCGAGCGCAGGCGGAAGAAUAAGUCUGAUGUGAAAGCCCUCGGCUUAACCGAGGAAUUGCAUCGGAAACCGUUUUCUUGAGUGCAGAAGAGGAGAGUAGAACUCCAUGUGUAGCGGUGGAAUGCGUAGAUAUAUGGAAGAAUACCAGUGGCGAAGGCGGCUCUCUGGUCUGCAACUGACGCUGAGGCUCGAAAGCAUGGGUAGCGAACAGGAUUAGAUACCCUGGUAGUCCAUGCCGUAAACGACGAGUGCUAAGUGUUGGGAGGCUUCCGCCUCUCAGUGCUGCAGCUAACGCAUUAAGCACUCCGCCUGGGGGAGUACGACCGCAAGGUUGAAAC